rnacentral:lncRNA from 1 species
CCAUUCUUAUCAUACGCCUUUUAUUAUCAUACAGACUGCAAUAAUAAUAAAAAGUUCAUUGUCGCAAUCUCUUAAAGCUUGUAUUUGAUCAGCUAUCUUCGCUUCUAAAUAGUCUAUAUGUGGAACUGAUCAAUCAUUUUCAUAUUUUUUGUGCGAACUUUCAUCAUCAAAGGCCAUACUUUUUUUCAUCUUCGAAGAAAUAAAACUCUCUGAUCCAGACAGUUCUCUAUCUUUUAUUUCAUUCUUAUCUACCCAUUGAAAAAAGUUAUAAUAAUUCUCCUUAUCAUUUCGAUAUUUUGGACAGCCGUAAAAUUGUAUCCCUUCAGAACGUGGCUGACGGAAAACUCUUAACAUAGCUACUUCAUUAUAUUUGCAGCGAACAAUCCCGCUUUCAUUAGGAUUUCCCCGAUAAUAUGCCAUUGAUAAUCUGAAAAAAAAAAUAAAGUAUCAAUUUAAUAAAGGAACGUGAGCUAAUCUGAUGAUGUUAGCCUUCGCAGAUUAAUAAAGGAACGUGAGCUAAUCUGAUUCUCUGACUCACAAACUGAGCAGGCAUCCUCUCGCAAAAAUUGAAACCUAAACCUUUACAAGGUCGUUCAAUGUAUUACAUUACAAGUGAAAAGCCACAUUAUUAAACAUCAUUCAAAACAUGUAAAUUUCUUAAAAGCCCAAAAUUACGCAAAUAAAAGAUCUCUUACGCAUAGGCAGCUUUUUAAAAAAUGAGCCACUGAUUUCAAUCUAUAAUAUUACUUCUAUAAAAGAUACCUGAAUUUGAGAUAAGUGGAUUUUUAUCAGGCAAAAGAUGUACAAUGUAUGGCAAAUAUAAAUCAAUUCCAUAAAUUAGGUAGUUUACAACUAGAUUUGAAUACAAAUAAUGAAUUAGAGCACAUGGAACCAGUGCUUAUUCGAGGGCAUCAACUGUAAAAUGAUAAGUGAUAUUCAUAAGGUAUUUCAGGGAUGUAAGAUUAUGUGGGGUUCAAGCAUGGCACAAUUGAGGUCUCAACUUUAAUCCUUGGGUAAUCCUUGGGUAAGCCUAACAGAUAAACUCUUAUAUGAAAUGCAGCAAAGCAAACCAUAAUUUCAAACUAUGAUCCAUAUCCAUAUGUAUAAAAUUAUGCUGAGAAAGAGAUUUGCUAUAGAAAAAGAAAUGCAAAUAAAAAAGAUUGAAAAAAAAAGAAAAUAGUACCAAAUGGGGACUCGCACGUGCGCUGCAGUCGGGGACUCGCUCGUGUGCCGCAGCCGGGGAGGGGACCGACCCGCAUGCUUGCCGCCGUAGGGGGGAGUGGUGGGCUGCCCGCAAGGUCGCCGCCGCAGCAGGGGAGGAGGAGAAGGCUAACGAAUG